GUUCACUCCUGGACAUAUACUAAAAUUGGAACAAUACAGAGAAGAUUCGCAUGGUGCCUGCGCAAAUUUUUUGUGAAGUCCUAAUCGUGUGU
rfam:Ancylostoma duodenale strain Zhejiang A_duodenale-1.0_Cont238219.1, whole genome shotgun sequence.